rnacentral:tRNA from 1 species
GGUGCCUUAGAACAUAGAUUCAGGGCGUUUGUGGCGCCAAAAUGUUGUUAAUAUACAGGUGCCG